rnacentral:rRNA from 1 species
CGGAAGAUGCGAGCGUUAUCCGGAUUUAUUGGGUUUAAAGGGAGCGUAGGCGGGCGAUUAAGUCAGCGGUAAAAUAGAGUGGCUCAACCAUUCUCCGCCGUUGAUACUGGUUGUCUUGAGUUCACACAAGGAAGAUGGAAUUCGUGGUGUAGCGGUGAAAUGCUUAGAUAUCACGAAGAACUCCGAUUGCGAAGGCAGUCUUCUGGGGUGUUACUGACGCUGAGGCUCGAAAGUGCGGGUAUCAAACAGGAUU